AACGAACGCUGGCGGCAUGCCUAACACAUGCAAGUCGAACGAGACCUUCGGGUCUAGUGGCGCACGGGUGCGUAACGCGUGGGAACCUGCCCUUAGGUUCGGAAUAACUCCCCGAAAGGGGUGCUAAUACCGGAUAAUGUCUUCGGACCAAAGAUUUAUCGCCUUUGGAUGGGCCCGCGUUGGAUUAGCUAGUUGGUAGGGUAAAAGCCUACCAAGGCGACGAUCCAUAGCUGGUCUGAGAGGAUGAUCAGCCACACUGGGACUGAGACACGGCUCAGACUCCUACGGGAGGCAGCGGUGGGGAAUAUUGGACAAUGGGCGAAAGCCUGAUCCAGCAAUGCCGCGUGAGUGAUGAAGGCCUUAGGGUUGUAAAGCUCUUUUACCCGGGAUGAUAAUGACAGUACCGGGAGAAUAAGCUCCGGCUAACUCCGUG
rnacentral:rRNA from 1 species